rnacentral:rRNA from 1 species
UACGUAGGGUGCAAGCGUUGUCCGGAAUUAUUGGGCGUAAAGAGCUCGUAGGCGGUCUGUUGCGUCGGCUGUGAAAACCCGGGGCUCAACCCCGGGCCUGCAGCCGAUACGGGCAGACUAGAGUUCGGCAGGGGAGACUGGAAUUCCUGGUGUAGCGGUGAAAUGCGCAGAUAUCAGGAGGAACACCGGUGGCGAAGGCGGGUCUCUGGGCCGAUACUGACGCUGAGGAACGAAAGCGUGGGGAGCGAACAGG